rnacentral:rRNA from 1 species
GACGAACGCUGGCGGCGUGCUUAACACAUGCAAGUCGAACGGAAAGGCCCUGCUUUUGUGGGGUGCUCGAGUGGCGAACGGGUGAGUAACACGUGAGUAACCUGCCCUUGACUUUGGGAUAACUUCAGGAAACUGGGGCUAAUACCGGAUAGGAGCUCCCGCUGCAUGGUGGGGGUUGGAAAGUUUCGGCGGUUGGGGAUGGACUCGCGGCUUAUCAGCUUGUUGGUGGGGUAGUGGCUUACCAAGGCUUUGACGGGUAGCCGGCCUGAGAGGGUGACCGGCCACAUUGGGACUGAGAUAUGGCCCAGACUCCUACGGGAGGCAGCAGUGGGGAAUAUUGCACAAUGGGCGGAAGCCUGAGGCAGCAACGCCGCGUGCGGGAUGACGGCCUUCGGGUUGUAAACCGCUUUCGCCUGUGACGAAGCGUGAGUGAAGGUAAUGGGGAAAGAAGCACCGGCUAACUACGU